rnacentral:rRNA from 1 species
GACAGAGGAUGCAAGCGUUAUCCGGAAUGAUUGGGCGUAAAGCGUCUGUAGGUGGCUUUUUAAGUCCGCCGUCAAAUCCCAGGGCUCAACCCUGGACAGGCGGUGGAAACUACCAAGCUGGAGUACGGUAGGGGCAGAGGGAAUUUCCGGUGGAGCGGUGAAAUGCGUAGAGAUCGGAAAGAACACCCGUGGCGAAGGUGGCUCUCUGGGACGGUACUGACGCUGAGACGCGAAAGCGUGGGGAGCGAACAGG